CGGAGGGUGCAAGCGUUAUCCGGAUUCACGGGGUUUAAAGGGUGUGUAGGCGGGUAUUUAAGUCAGUGGUGAAAUCUCCGAGCUCAACUCGGAAACUGCCAUUGAUACUAUUUAUCUUGAAUAUUGUUGAGGUAGGCGGAAUAUGUCAUGUAGCGGUGAAAUGCUUAGAUAUGACAUAGAACACCGAUUGCGAAGGCAGCUUGCUAAACAAUUAUUGACGCUGAGGCACGAAAGCGUGGGGAUCAAACAGGAUUAGAUACCCUGGUAGUCCACGCCCUAAACGAUGAUUACUGGACAUUUGCGAUAUACAGUGAGUGUCUGAGCGAAAGCAUUAAGUAAUCCACCUGGGAAGUACGUCCGCAAGGAUG
rnacentral:rRNA from 1 species